UACGGGAGGCAGCAGCGGGGAAUAUUGCACAAUGGGCGCAAGCCUGAUGCAGCCAUGCCGCGUGUAUGAAGAAGGCCUUCGGGUUGUAAAGUACUUUCAGUCGUGAGGAAGGUGUUAAGGUUAAUAACCUUAGCAAUUGACGUUAGCGACAGAAGAAGCACCGGCUAACUCCGUGCCAGCAGCCGCGGUAAUACGGAGGGUGCGAGCGUUAAUCGGAAUUACUGGGCGUAAAGGGCACGCAGGCGGUUAAUUAAGUUGGAUGUGAAAUCCCCGGGCUUAACCUGGGAAUGGCAUUCAAGACUGGUUAGCUAGAGUCUUGUAGAGGGGGUAGAAUUCCAUGUGUAGCGGUGAAAUGCGUAGAGAUGUGGAGGAAUACCGGGUGGCGAAGGCGGCCCCUGGGACAAAGACUGACGCUCAUGUGCGAAAGCGUGGGGAGCAAACAGGGAUUAGAUACC
rnacentral:rRNA from 1 species